rnacentral:misc_RNA from 1 species
UUUACAAGUGAGAGAGUGGCGACCACAGGACCAUGAGCAAGAUCCCUUACCACGACGAUCUUGAGUUUCCUUUCUGCGAUGAUGUUAUUAAAUACGAAAAACUGGCUAAAAUCGGACAAGGAACUUUUGGUGAAGUAUUCAAAGCUCGUGACAGAAGAACAGGCAAGGUUGUGGCACUCAAAAAGAUUCUCAUGGAAAAUGAGAAAGAAGGGUUUCCCAUCACAGCACUACGAGAGAUCAGAAUCUUGAAGUUACUCAGACAUGACAACGUUGUGAACUUGCUUGAAAUAGCUCGUACUAAAGGUCCGCCACCUCCAGGACUUCAGAAGCCUGCUAAAGCAACGCCACAUAUGUCCAGUCUUUCUACAUUCUUCUUGGUGUUUGAAUUUUGUGAGCAUGACUUGGCUGGAUUACUCUCCAAUGUCAACGUAAAAUUUAAUCUUGGGGAAAUUAAGAAGGUAAUGCAGCAAUUGCUCAACGGACUGUACUACAUUCAUUCCAACAAGAUUCUCCACCGAGAUCUCAAAGCUUCAAAUGUUCUUAUCACUAAAAAUGGAAUCUUGAAAUUGGCUGAUUUUGGUUUGGCUCGAGCAUUCAGUACUAGCAGACAAGGUCCAAAUAGGUAUACGAAUCGUGUUGUUACUCUUUGGUACCGGCCACCAGAGCUUCUCUUAGGAGAAAGAAAUUAUGGACCCCCAGUUGACAUGUGGGGAGCUGGCUGCAUAAUGGCUGAAAUGUGGACUCGCACACCAAUACUACAGGGGAGUACAGAGCAGCAUCAGUUGGCUCUCAUCACUAAACUUUGUGGCUCCAUUACACCUGAAGUUUGGCCAUCAGUUGAAAAUUAUGAACUUUACAACAAAAUGGAUUUAGUCAAGGGGCAGCAACGCCGAGUGUGUGAAAGACUAAAGCAUUAUGUUCGAGAUAGUCAGGCCUUAGAUUUGUUAGACAAACUUCUCACACUUGAUCCUAGCAAGAGAACCGAUUCCUCUUCUGCUCUGGAUCACGACUUCUUCUGGACAGAUCCAAUGCCUGGUGAUCUGUCCAAGAUGCUGUCACAACACACACAGAGUAUGUUUGAGUACUUGGCACCAGCAAGAAGACCGGGUGCAUCAAACAGACCUGUGAUUCAGCCUCGACAACCAGACAAUGUGUCGUCUUACCAGGAACGUGUAUAUUAAGGAGGAACAUGAGCUUUAAAAUUAGAGUAAUUAGAUUUUUAAUGUUAAUUUUUUGUACAGUAUAUUCCUGGUUUAUGGGCAGUUAGUGUUGGUGCUCAUGGGUAAAAUGCAUAAUCAUUCAUUUGACUUGCAAUGCUUUUCUAGAUAUCACAAAAGCUAGCAUCUACAUUCAGAAUACUGUAUAUUGAUCCAAAAUUUUACAUAUAUUCAAUUUAGGAUCAAAUGUGAUGACAAACUGGUAUUCUUUGGCUCUCAGGAUUUUAUGUUUUGAAGAUAAAUGGUUUUUAUCUUUAAAUGGAUAUUAAAUAGUUGUGCGAGAUUAUAUUAAAGGUAACUUUAGAAAUCUGUUUUUUUUCACAGAAUUCAUAUAGGUCUUCAGUGUUUGCUUCCGUAUAUGGUAAUUAUUAUUGUAAAAUGCUUUUGUAUUCUAUAUAUUAAAAAAAGAUGUCAUCAGUAAUAUGCAUAUUUCCUUAAAUUCUCAAGGAAAUAGUUUUUUUAUGUUUACUGUCCAAAUAUGAAAAACAUUGUUUUUAAUCAAGGACAGAAUUUCAGUGAUCAUAUACAAUAGGCAUCCCAUCCUCCUAAAUUGAAAGUACAGUACUUAAAAGUAACAAUAUGGUGGAAAGUACCAAUAUGUAGUGAUUGACCACCAGAAAGUUUACUUUAGUAUUACUGAAUUUGGACUCGCCAGACACUGUUUUAAUUGUUUAAGUGUAACCUAGGCUAACCUAACCUCUUAGCAAUUCUUGGCCUAAUACUUGCUAUCUAAUAGAGUAUAUAUAUGUACUAUACUAGGCCUAGGAAUAUUUCAGUUUGAUUUUUAGGUUUAUUUUUUCCUGACUAUGAAAUUAAUAGUACAAAAAGCGGUUUACCGGUAGAUCAUCACUACAUAUUGGUACUUCUCACGACAUAGGUACUAUAAGUACUUUCUAUGAUUUCGGGAGGGAUGGGUUCACAGUAUCAUAGAAAAUGUUGAAAACUGUUGAAAUUUUCCUAUUGGUGUAAACUAGUGGUAUCCGUUGUUGACUUCUUGUAAGUAUUAAAUGUUUUAGUUUUGACUUACUGAGAAAGUGUCUUGUUACUGCUAAAAGUAAUCUAACCUUCUCAGUAGUUCACACUUCAGGAAAUGAUACAAACUUGUUGGGAUUCAGAGAUUUUUAGAUCCAUGUGUAAUUUUUAUUAAAUGUAAAGAUAACUUACAAGCGGGCAUUGUUAGAAUGCCUUGGAAAUAUGAAACAUAAUGAUGAUAAUCAUUACAUGAAAAGAUGUCAACAUAGUGCCAUAUGAAAAUAAAUCAUUGCUGGGAACGUUGCUGUAUCAAAUCUCUGUACUAUGCUGUAUCUAUCCCUGGUAAACUCGACUUCACACACACACUGUCCUAAUUAAACUCGGUUUCACAUACUGAGAUGCCAUAUUCUAAGCACCUCAUUGUUGUUACUUUGUGUUGCUUAAAAUAUUUCACUUUUUUUUUUUUUUAACGAGGCUAUCAUCAGCUUUUUGUGGUUGCUUUUAAAAUAGCUGUAUGACUUUGUUGAUCUUGUAAAUAUUGCUUUUCCACAUGGUGAUCUGCCAUGCAUUCUCAAACUGUCUUGUUUCUUUAUAAAUUGCUUCACUUGUUGCUACCUCUGUAGUGUAUAAGAUAUGGUGAAUAGGUGUUAUUUUGUAAUAUCUUUAACUUUUUUUUUGUAUUGUUUUCUUGUCUUUUCUGACUGUUACCUUUCUGCCACUUGAAAUUCAAAUAUGGGAUAAUUAUGGUGACGAUAUCUAAGGGGCCGGCUCCACUUCAUAUAAUUUUAAACUUUUGGUAAGUGAAACUUUUAACACAUGAUUUUUUAUAGCCAAACCACUAUGUUUCAACAAUUGGUUGAAGUUUUGCUGCAGAGCCCUUAGCUAUAGGUAUGGGAGGUGCUUAGUGGCCAAAAUGCUCUGCCUUUACUUUGAAGCUAACACGGAACAAGUCAUGUGUGUGCAGAAAAAAUAAGUAGCCAUCAACUAGCUCUAAAAGAAUAGUUAUUAUAAAAUAUUUGUUUAGGACUAACUCAUGAAGGAAGGUCAUUGAUACAUAAAUUCUUCACAUAUACAAUUAUAAUUUUUAUCCAGAAUGUUGCAGAUGUGUAUAGUAUGAAAAACAAGAAAUUCAUGCUCUCUUUUUCUUACUCUGUAACACUGUGAAAGAAACAAAACAGACUAAAGAUAGGGACAGGACAGGAAGCCAACAUCAUCUUGAGGUUAUCAUGAGAUGGUUUCGGGGCUUAGCGUCCCCGUGGCCCAAUCCUCGACCAGGCCUUAUGUUUGUUACACACCCCCAGGAAGCAGCCCGUAGCAGCUGUCUAACUCCCAGGUACCUGUUUACUGCUAGGUGAACAGGGACAUCAGAGUGAAAAAACUUUGCCCAUUUGUCUCCACCUCCACCGGGGAUCGAACCCGGAACCUCAGGACUACGAAUCCGAUGCGCUGUCCACUCGGAUGUCAGAGAGGACAGGGAAACGGAGAUUAGAGGUGAGGAAGCGAGAAGAAAAACCUGGGUGUAACAGGUACUCCCCUUAGUUCAUUAUACAGUAAAUCAUUCUGAUGCCUUUAUACAUUUUUGUUUUUGUACAUACAGUGGUCUACUAUGCAAAGCUCCAUAUAUUUCAAGAUUAAAUGAAGGAUAAAGUUAUGGGCAGGAAAAAUGACUUGAAACUCCUGUGAAUCACAUAAUAUAUAUACAGUAUUGGAAAUUAUACUUCACUUUUACUUAUGGUGCUAAAUGCUUAUAAUUCAUUACAUCCUUAACAUGUGUAAUAUGGAGUAAUGUUUAAAUAUUUUGGUAGAGGCUAGAUGGAUAUCUUUGACUUAAUUAUUUCAACAGUUUAUCAUUGAUUAGGAUGGUUUUUGAACAAAUCCACAAGGGCCGCCGUGACUAGGGUUCGAACCCUCGUCACGGCCCUUGUGGAUUUGUUGUUUGAUGCAUCACGCUAUUGUGAUGUCUGUGUGUAAUAAUGGUUUUUGUUUUAACCUGUAACUGGUUUUGAGAGUUUUGCUACUCACCACCUGACAUGAGAGAGGCUUUUCUGGUGAUGUUAUCAGCCAGACUAUUUAGUUCUUGAGGCCAGCAGGCCAAUAUUGCCAUCACAGCCUGGAUGAUUUGCUAGUUCAGCAGCUCCUCGACUUUCCUGUUGAAGCAUUUUUUUCAUUAUUUCUGGAAUAUAAGGAAAAAUAGGGCUUAAACCAGAUGACAUUGAUUUUUUCCAACUUAUUUCAGUGACUUCUGCCUAAUUAUUUUCAUAACAUUAUUUAUGCAAUUUAAAACUACAAGUAUAGAGAAAUUUGAUGAUUUACAUUUUGGUCUGUAAAUGGCUGUACUGGAAUAUGAAAAUUUCUUUAUUGCACAUGUCUUUGCUACAGCUCAUAUCUUAAUUUUAUACUUGGAAAGCCCCAUUUCUUAAAUUUAGUGAAGCCCGAACUUGUAAAGUGAUGUCUUUACUCCCACUUUCCUGCAACGUAAAGUGGUGUCUUUGCUCCCCCCUUUCCUGAAACUACUUUUUGUUAAACAUUUCCACCGUCAUUCUUACUACUUGGUACUGUUCUAAUUAUGGACGGGUCAGAAUCUGCUAAAGGUAUUGACAUAUCCAUUAUCUUAACUAAUCAAUCCUUUGUGUGCCACCUACCUCCAGAGCAGUAUUUUUGCCGGAGAACUUUAUGAUAUUUGCUCUAAGACGAUUAUAUUUCAUGAGUUGAUUAUCAAUGGUCAUUGUGGUUAACUCUUGAAGUACUCUCAUAGCCUUGGAGUCUGUUCACCCUUUUCACUGCUGAUAUCAAUAAAAUAGCAAAUACCAGUUAUAAAAUAAAUCUACUCGUACUAAUUUUGUCUCCUACAAGCUAAUUUCUUACUCAGAUUUCUAUCUUGUUCUUAAUGUGAUUUGCAGUCUUUGGAGAGAUAAGUGUUAGAUUGUUAGUUAGUGUAACAAACUGCAUUUACUUUCAUCAAAUGUGUCCUAUUCCUGACGCCUUUAUCUUAUAACUGAAAUAGAAAGUGGAAAUUAUCUCUCGCUUGAUUAUGUAUUGGCUCUAUAAGAUUAACUGUAGGACACAAUGGAACAUAGACCUGCACCAUAAUGUCAGACCUGCAUCGUUCUGCUUGUGGUCACUCAUCUCCUGGUGAAAUGUCUCGACUUUCUGGAUUACUGGAAGUUUUUCUCUCCUGCUAUUCCUUUUCAUCAGACAUCCCUUGAUAAAAUCCUCAGGAAAUCCAGCUCCUAUAGCAGUGGCCAUUGUGUUAGCAGUUACUACCAGAGGUAAAACUGCUCUCAUAUUGGCAUUCUGAAUGACAUCUAGGAACUCUUGACUGUUCUGUUCUAAUAGACAGUACUAAAUUAGCAUUGACUUUUGAUUAAGUACUUGUCAUGGAUAGUAGGUAUGUUUAAGGUAGUGAUCCCAAAAAAAAUUUUGAACAAUUAAUAUACGUCUUUUAGUGCAUUACUAUUCACAAAUCAUGUAACGUACUUUUGGCUGUUAAUCAUCUCUGGCGUCUAAGUUUAAAAUCAGCAUUGCCUCUUACCUCAUUACCCACUUCUCAUGUAGUAUGGUAGUGAAGACUCGUCGUACAGGAAAAUAAAAAUCUUCAAAAGAUGAAAAGUUAGAAAAUAUUGGUGUUGUAUCUGAUCUUGGGCAAUAUAUUAUUCACUAUUCCGAAAACAUCGCAACUUGGCAAAAUAUUCAGAGUUGUAUUUAAUCCAUUUCAUAAUUUAAGUAUUGAAGUAUUACAUAGGAAUUACCACAGCAAAUCAUGUCAUUUCUUCUCGCCAAACAUUAUAGUCAGUCAUAUUGUGAUUUUUUGUAUGCCUUGUUCACAAGUAUACAAUAUAUUGUCACUUUUACAUUAUUUUCAUGUAUACCAUAAUGUAAUUUGUUGCGCAUUGUUCACAUGUAAACAAUAGUCAUUUCUUGUGCAGUUUUCACAUGUACCAUAUUGUCAUUUCUCGUUCAUUGUUCAUAUAUAUACCAUAUCAUCACUUCUCAUGCAUUGCUCACAUGCAGUAUGUACCAUAUAAUUACUCAUGUGCAGACUUACAUAUUAUGUACUCAUAUAUUGUUCCAUGUAUACAGUAUUGUCACCUCUCUUCCAUUGUUCACAUGCUUACCAUAUUUUUAAGCAUACUGUAUCUGUCCUCUGUGUUCUGGGCCUUCCUCUCUUCCAAUCCUGAUAUUCACUUACGUGCACUUGCCCAUUCAUUCCUUAAAAAUUUAUUCUUUAUGACCAUAGCACAUUCUACCCACUUCUACAGGUCUGUAAACUGAAGCCCAUAUUUCUAAAAUACAAGUGUAAUCAUUGCAUACCAGAUCUGUCUUUGUUUCUUCUGGAAUUGGCAAAGCGUUAAAGAAAACUUUCAGCCAGCAAAGUGGUCUACUUCGUCAGUUCAUAACUGAGGGUUCAAGUCCAGGGCAGGACAGAGACCAUUGGGCACAUUUUUUCUUAAUGAUAUAUAUCACUAAGAACUCUAAGUGACCCGACCAGGAUUCGAACCCGCGCUGCUCAGGAUCAACCCUAAAUGUACUCAGUACUGUGAUCACCUCAGUUGAGAGGUGGUCACAGUGCUGCAGAUGCAUUGUUCCACUAACAGUUGCCCACCACCUUAGAAGGUCCUGAUUUUUAGGUGAUUACACUUUGUGCUUUCCCAGUGUUCCUUUGAGUCGUAUGUCCCUUGAUGAAGUCCUCAGUGAAUAUGAUACAGUACCUUUAAUGCUUUUUUUUUUUUUUUUUGUAUCUCUUUGCUCUCAUAUGGAUAUCCUUAAUGAUAUCUAGGAACUUGUGAAAAUUCUGUGUCACAGACAGCGCAAAAUAUUCUUUCAGGCUUCUUGCCUUCUUUUGAUAAUUGCUUAAAUGGGUUCUGUAGUCUUUUUGCAACAAUUUUCACUGCAUUGUGAAAGGUUCAUGGUUUUUAUGUUUUCACAUAAAAUAUAACACGUCUUCAGAUUUGGUACACAAAUGCUUUGUGAACUGUGUGCUUAUUGCUUAGUGUCUUCCGUGCCUUCCUAUGAUCAAUCACUAUUAUGAGUGCAUAUUUAUUUCUGAUCAGAAUGAAGAAUUCAAGGAAAUUUCUUUAUAUCUUGUACAUCUCUUUGGAUUAUAUAGUGUUGUAUGUUUCUUUAAGACAUUAGCAGGUCUUGGGAGUUUUAAAUUUUGUUGUAUAUUUUGGAUAUCAUGUUUUUGGUUUAUAAAUAUAUUCCUGGGCUAAAUUCCUUCAUUUCUAAUACAAACUUCCUUUGAAAACUUUCAGUUUUGGCUUCCUGCAUUCUUAGGGGGUUCUGUAGCUAUUUUGAGAAGUUUGCAGAACUAAAAAAAAAAAUUUCUUUUUAAUGGUGGAGUUGUUGUUUCUGGUCUUAAAUUACCUGGUUUUCUAACCCAUGGUGGCAGUUGCAGAAACCAUUAUUUUUGUCUUAAUACAGUAAACCAUAUCCCAACACCUGAAUCACAACUUUUUGUUAUGUGGGCCAUUGCUAUCUCAGUGCUUCCACUGAAGCACUGUAUUUUGAUAUGUAAUUGUCAUGAGAUAACAUGUUUUACUUUUAUCAUUUAUAUAAUCUUGUUUUGAAUGAUUUUGAAUUAGCUUUUUCAUUUUAACCGAGAGCCAUUAUUUCUGUCUAGUGAUUUAUUACACAUACGACUAAUUUCCUGAUGGCAGUUAUUUUGCCUUGUUUCUGGUUAUUGUCUAACAGCACUAAUGGAAUUAUAAUUUAUAUAUACACGUUUGCAUUGGGAUCAUUCAUUGUGCUACUUAGUUUUUGGAUUGCCCUGCUCUAUGAUGACAUUUCUGGAGUGCACUCCUUAAUAUUAUUCAAUGGUGCUAUUUUGAUAAUGCUAUUACCAGUUUGCUCUCAUGAAGUGUGCAGACAGUCUUGAUGAAGACAGAACUUACAUACUAGAGAUGAGAUAUAUAUUGGAGGAGGUAUUACAGUGCAGUACUUUAUACUAGAGGCAAGAUUUACAUGGUGGAUCUGAUCAAGAUGAUCAUGGUAUCAUGAUCACAAAUCACUUGCAUGUUGAAAAGGAAUAUUAGUUGAUAUUUGCCAUAUUUAAAAGACUGUGGUGAAGGCAUUACUUUCAAAAUAUGCUUAGUGCUUGUGUUGUGUACAUACGGCUUUUCUUAUGGAAACAGGGUUCGUGUUUUGGAGACAGUUAGUGUAAUAGAAAUGGGGUGUGUGUGUGUAAUGGAGAUGAUGGUGGAUAUAAUCUUAUGUAAAUGAAAUAACACUGAAAUGGUGAAGGUAAGGCUUUUAUAACAGCAUUUUUGUCAUUGGAUACUACUGUAUUUUAGUCAAAAAAUAUUUAACUGUAGUGCAGAUGUAGCUCAAUUAGUGAUGUUUGCAUUUAACGUUUUUAAACCCAUUUUAUGAAAUGGGGCUUUGACACGGCACAGAGAUUAAUGUGGGGAGGUAGGACAGGAAUAUUAAUACCUGGGUGGAAUCUUAAAAUGCCACAUGAUUAUAUACGGCUUCUAGCAUUAAGUAUCUCUUAUAGGUAGGUUAUGGUGAAGUGGAGUGAAAUAACGCAAAGUACAUAAAGAGAGAGUUAAUUCUUGCAUGUCUCAUAAUUAAAAGAUUUUAAAUUAUAAUAUAUUUCAAACUUGGCAUCAUGAAAUACUAUGUUCCUGUAACUAAACAAGAAGGAUUAGCUUAGUCUGUUGCUGGCUUCCUGAUGCCUACCUUACUAUUAGGACCAAAUUCAUGAAUGAGUUCAUUAAAGUCUUCAGGGCUAUCACAGUGCACUACCAUGUUGCAUAUGUGUCUUGUCCUAAACUUUUCUUAUAAAAUGAGGAUAAAUAAAAAUUAAUAAGUUUUAGUUACUAGAACAUAUAUGAAAUAAAAUAUAAUAUGCAGUAUUGUUCUUUCUUGCAAAACUGGCUUUAUUCUUACAUAUGCUAUUAUUUUCUCUGAUAUGCUUGUUAAAUUUCUGGGCCCCAUUUAUUAAACAUGUAAAGAUUGUAUUAUUAAAAAAAGAAAAUAUGCUUAAAGUAAUUUAUAGGUCAUUGGUAUUUAGGUUGUGGAAAGAUAGUCAUCAGUGCUGGGAUUAAAUCAUUGGAUUGGGAUAAUGUUUGUAUAAUAUGAAAUUGACUUAUUCAUGGUGAUUGCUCUUGUGUGUGAGGCCUAAAGUAGCUGUGUUUAAAAUAUAGCAUUAAUAAGCAUGAUUUAAAAUGGUACUCUAUUAUGUAUCUAUAACACUGUUGGCAACAGGCAAGAAGUUGUGUGCAGGAGUAAAGGAGAGUAAUACAUGGUAAACCUCUUGAUGCACAUCUCUGCUGUUUGAAAAAGGAUUAACUAUAUAAAAUACUGCUGAAAAUGGAAAAUUAAGGUACUUAAAACUGUAAAUAUAGUAUUUAAUUGAUCAGAUGAUCACUGGAGCUGAUUUAGUGGCUCUUAAGGGAGGAAGGCAAUAUGGUUUGUGAGCUGCCCAAAAAUAUGGAAGUUUAAUUCAAAUUUAAAUAUGAUAAUGGAGUAUAAUCAUCUAGCAGAGCCAAUGAAAAAGCAGUUAACAUAAGCAGGCGAUGAGUCACAAUAACGUGGCUAAAAUAAGUUGACCAGACCACACACUAGAAGGUGAAAAGACGACAACGUCUGAAGACAAUCGACUUGAGAGUGGUCCAGGAUGGACUGAAACGUCGUCAUCCCUUCACCUUCUAGUGUGUGGUCUGGUCAACAGUUAACAUAAGUGAAUGUAUAGUCUGAAGCAAAGAUAGGGGAAGUGCAGACCAUUGACGUGGUUGUUCAUGGAGGCAAGUGCCCGGUAUUGAACUAAGAGUAAAAAAAUAUGCAAAUAGUAUUUUGAGCUAUUGUACAUAAAGUGGUUGCAAACUAAAAGUUCUAAUAGUUUUCAUGUUAAUAAGUAGGAGUACUGUAGGUGCAAGAGGUGGCCAUAGAUGAAAUGAUAGGCAAAAAAAUAUUGCAUGAUUGUGUGAUAGGUGAGUUAGGACAUAUAAAUAAUUGCAUUGCAUGGUGAAAGGUGUGUAUGAUAUGGCUAACAACCUGGCUACCCAGCUGGGGGGAUGGACGCUGAACCAUGUGUAUGUGUCUCUACAUGUAUUUAUGUAUGUAUGUAAUGUAAGUAUUUAGAUAUUAGUAACAUAAUUUUUUGCCUCAUAAAAUAUAACUUUGUUUACCAUAAUUGUCAGCUUUUAAUAUAGAGUACUUGAUCAUAAAGAGUAGGUGAAGUAAGAGACUUUCACUUCUGUGUAAUAUAUUGCAUGAAAAAGGUUUUUGUUGUUUCCUCAUUGUGUUUUAUGUUUGUUUUAUAUGGUAAUGACAGUUUAAAGUUGUUCAUAUAAAACCUACUGUACUAUAUGCUCAAAGGGAGAGUUCCUCGCCUAAUCACUAUAUACGCAUGGUCUUCACUUGGUUGUGUUGUAUCCUCCAUGCUCAUCACUUGAAUUACCUUUUAUAACAUUACUGAAACUUUUUUUUAUAUUAGCAGUGGACAUAGAUGUUGAUUAUUUUAUUCAAGGGGUAUGUUAACUGUGUAAUGACCAAAGGAAAAGAGAUCUUGUCUUUGUCAUUCAAAGACUUCACAGUACUGCAGCUUGAAUGCUUUCAAAUUAUUGUAUAAUUUAUUAGUACUGUAUAUGGAAAUAUUUCUUUGGGGGAAAUGAACAAGUUUAAUGCUAAUUUAAAUUUUGAAUUGCUUACAGGUAAUAACAGUAUAUUAGUAUUGUACUGUAUAUACAGAGUACAUUAAGCAAUUUGAGAGUGCAUCAAUGUUUUAAGGUGCCUUUAUUCUCUUCAUUAAACUUAAAAUUCAUUAUUUUUGUCAAGCAUUAAUAGUUUUUCACAAAAUACCUUAUUCGAAGUAAAUGUAAUAUGAAUUUCCUUUGAUAGUUCUGUACAGUUCAUUUAUCAAAUGAAAAUAAUUUUCACCAUGUUGCCUACAUUUUUAUCUGAAACGAUAAAGAAGUUUUAAGUUGUCAUAUGUGAAAUUGAGUUUUAUGAUGAUAAUUUUUUUUUAAAUCCAUUAACUUGUAUAAUCUGCUAUAUAGUAUUUUCAUCUGUUUUCCUUAAAAGAUGAUUAUUUUAAAUGGGCUUAUUUAAUAUAAUCUACACUGAAAUUUAAAUAGGUACUUAUGAAUGAUAUCAUCUUGACUGGAAUACAGACAUAAUUAUGUUCCCUAAUAAUGUAUGGAGCAUGAUUAUUUACAUAAAUUUUGUUGUGAUUUAGUAGAUGUAUUAUACUACACGUAUGUCAAUUUGAGACGCGACAAAAAUUUCAUCCUGUUCCAUCUAAGGAUAUACCUGUAUUGAAUUGCUUAACAAACUGGUUUCUUUUUGUCUUUAAUUUGUGAGUUAAAUUAAACAACCAAUAGGCAAGUUUUGCAGAUACUCAAGGUACGAAACAAUUAACAAGUUACUACAUUAGGCCUACUAAUAACCGAGAUAACCAAGAUACUAUGUAUAGAAACACCAUGAGAAGAGUUGAUUUGGCAUUUCUAUAAAUUGUCGUUAUAUUGUUUUCUCUUCAACCAUGUGUUCUACUGUUAUCAUAGCUCUAUUACCAUGAUGACUAUGUUAUUUCAAACACGAUAUUCUUUUGUCAUUUUUUUUAAUUUGUUAUAUUGAUUAAUUACAAGUAUUGUUUAUUAAAUUAUUCUGCAAAACUAGUGUUGACUGCUGUGAUGAUAAUACUGAAUGAUAAAUAUACAGUAAUUGAUUAUGGCCUGUAAAUUUAUUUCAGCUCAACAGGGUGUCAUAUUUUAUAUAUAUAUAAAUAUAUAAUAAGUGUGUGUGUGUGUUAGGGGGGGGGGUCUCUCACAAACACCGAACAUCUCAUGCUGGUAGAAAUCAUUUCUACUCGAUUAAAGAAAUAUCUAAUAAAAAUUACAUAAAAUCUUAAGAGUAAUGGGAGGUAAUUGCUACAAAAUAACAAAAUAAGGGAGGAAUUAAUACAUUGCUACCAUAAUUUCCUUGUACUGAUUCCUUUGUAAUGCAAGCAGUGAGGUGUAUGCACACACACACACACACACACACACACGCAUGCACGCAUGAUAACUAAACCUGGGCUAAGUCUCAAAUGCAAGAAAAGACACGUGGUUGGAACACUUCUAGAGUCUGUAGUACUUGGCAACCUACAUUAAAAAGCAACAUACAAAUUGUAUAUUAUAAUUUAUAAUACGAGUACAAGUCCAUUUAAGCAUUCCUAAAAAAAAAAUAAUGUUUAUACUGUAACUAAAAACAUGAGUUUAUCCAAGCGUGAAAUAAAAAGUGGGAAUGCACUUGCUGAAUCAGCUGGGUGAAUUUUGGCAACUUUUUCUAACAAUCAAGAUUUAUCAGAAUCAUAUUUUGGCUAGGGAAUAGUGCAGUUAAUCUUUGACUGUAUUGUGGUAAAAUUAACCAAGGUAUGUCCAGUUCCCAAUUCUUCAUAGCAGUCUAAAGGUUUCAAUCUGUUCUUUUGACGCUACACAGGACAUUAGUAUAGGACUAAUUUGAACCUGCGAUAUGCAGGAUUAAGAAAUAAUAAGAUAUAUUGAGGUUGGGUUGCUAAGCUGGUUUUGGUUGAACAUCUUGUUUAAUAAAGUGCAGGCCUACUUAACUUAAAACAUUAAAUUAUCGAUUUUUAUGAAAUUUUAGUUUAUUAAGCAACUGUUAGGAUGGAUUAUAUAUAUAUAUAUGUAUAUUAUAUAUAUAUAUAUAUAUAAUCUAAAAAUUUGAUUUACAAAGUUCUCAGCUUAAGUUGAUGAACUAGGCAACAUGUGAAGGCUGAAGGGGUUAAUUCCCAGGUUUGUUGUUGCCCAAGGACCAUUGUGGCAUCUUGCUCUGUAGACAAGGAGUAAAGUAUUUCCUUGGUCUUGAGUACAUUAUCUUUAUCUAGUUUUAUUAUUAGAAUAUAUACUUUUUUAUUCACAAUAAAUAUACAUCUGUGAUAUCAAAAGCAUGUUAAGACCUUUAUACUUGUGACUCAUGUUGGGUCUUAGUAAAUCUGGCAUUUUA